rnacentral:rRNA from 1 species
UGAAUACGAGACGCUAAGGCGUCGAAGUAGUGUAUGUCAUACUUCCAAGAAAAGCUUGCACUGUCAUAGAUAAAAAACGCCUGUACCAUAACCGACACAGGUGGGUAGGUAGAGUAUACUAAGGGGCGCGAGAUAACUCUCUCUAAGGAACUCGGCAAAAUAACUCCGUAACUUCGGGAGAAGGAGUGCCUUAUUAUUAAGGUUGCAAUAACAAGAUCCAAGCAACUGUUUAUCAAAAACACAGGUCUCCGCUAAGUCGUAAGACGAUGUAUGGGGGCUGACGCCUGCCCAGUGCCAGAAGGUUAAAGAAGCUGGUUAGCAUUUGCGAAGCUAGUAACUGAAGCCCUGGUGAACGGCGGCCGUAACAAUAACGGUCCUAAGGUAGCGAAAUUCCUUGUCGGGUAAGUUCCGACCCGCACGAAAGGCGUAAUGAUUUGGAUACUGUCUCGGAGAGGGGCUCGGUGAAAUAGACUUGUCUGUGAAGAUGCGGACUACCUGCACCAGGACAGAAAGACCCUAUGAAGCUUUACUGUAACUUGAAAUUGAAAUUGGACUUUAUUCGCGCAGUAUAGGUGGGAGGCGUUGAUUAUAAUCUUGCGGGAUUAUUGGAGCCAUUAGUGAGAUACCACUCUUGUAAUGUUAGAUUUCUAACUUUGAAUCAUUAUCUGGUCAAAGAACAGUUUCAGGCGGGCAGUUUGACUGGGGCGGUCGCCUCCUAAACGGUAACGGAGGCGUACAAAGGUUUCCUCUGAACGGUUAGAAAUCGUAUCUAGAGUGUAAAGGCAUAAGGAAGCUUGACUGUGAGACCUACAAGUCGAGCAGGGACGAAAGUCGGUCUUAGUGAUCUGACGGUACUGAGUGGAAAGGCCGUCACUCAACGGAUAAAAGUUACUCUAGGAUAACAGGCUGAUCUCCCCCAAGAGUUCACAUCGACGGGGAGGUUUGGCACCUCGAUGUCGGCUCAUCGCAUCCUGGGGCGGUAGUACGUCCCAAGGGUUGGGCUGUUCGCCCGUGAAAGCGGUACGCGAGCUGGGUUCAGAACGUCGUGAGACAGUUCGGUCCAUAUCCGGUGUAGGCGUUAGAAUAUUGAGAGGAGCCUUCUUUAGUACGAGAGGACCGAGAAGGACAUACCUCUGGUGUACCAGUUAUCGUGCCAACGGUAGACGCUGGGUAGCUAUGUAUGGAGUGGAUAACCGCUGAAAGCAUCUAAGUGGGAAGCCCACCUCAAGAUAAGUAUUCUCA